CCUCUAGUUGCCAUCAUUCAAGUUUGGGGCAACUCUAGAGGGACUGACCGGUGAUAAGCCGAGAGGAAGUGGGGAUGACGUCAAGUCAGCAUGGCCUUUAUGUCCAGGGCUACACACGUGCUACAAUGGUUGGUACAAAGGGUUGCCAAGCCGUGAGGCGGAGCCAAUCUCAAAAAAGCCAACCUCAGUUCGGAUUGCAGUCUGCAACUCGACUGCAUGAAGUUGGAAUCGCUAGUAAUCGCUGAUCAGCAGGCAGCGGUGAAUACGUUCCCGGGCCUU
rnacentral:rRNA from 1 species